rnacentral:rRNA from 1 species
AGAGUUUGAUCAUGGCUCAGAACGUACGCUGGCGGCACGCCUAACACAUGCAAGUCGAACGAAGUAGCAAUACUUAGUGGCAGACGGGUGAGUAACAUGUAGGUAUCUACCCUUUGGCCUGGAAUAACACGAGGAAACUUGUGCUAAUACCGGAUAAGUCUUUACGGAGAAAGCUUUAUGCACCAUUGGAUGAGCCUGCACUUGAUUAGUUUGUUGGUAGGGUAAUGGCCUACCAAGACUGUGAUCAAUAGCUGAUUUGAGAGGAUGAUCAGCCACAUUGGGACUGAGACACGGCCCAAACUCCUACGGGAGGCAGCAGUGGGGAAUCUUGCACAAUGGAGGAAACUCUGAUGCAGCGAUGCCGCGUGAGUGAAGAAGGCCCUUGGGUUGUAAAGCUCUUUCGUCGGGGAAGAAAAUGACUGUACCCGAAUAAGAAGGUCCGGCUAACUUCGUGCCAGCAGCCGCGGUAAUACGAAGGGACCUAGCGUAGUUCGGAAUUACUGGGCUUAAAGAGUUCGUAGGUGGUUGAAAAAGUUAGUGGUGAAAUCCCAGAGCUUAACUCUGGAACUGCCAUUAAAACUUUUCAGCUAGAGUAUGAUAGAGGAAAGCAGAAUUUCUAGUGUAGAGGUGAAAUUCGUAGAUAUUAGAAAGAAUACCAAUUGCGAAGGCAGCUUUCUGGAUCAUUACUGACGCUGAGGAACGAAAGCAUGGGUAGCGAAGAGGAUUAGAUACCCUCGUAGUCCAUGCCGUAAACGAUGUGUGUUAGACGUUGGAAAUUUAUUUUCAGUGUCGCAGGGAAACCGAUAAACACACCGCCUGGGGAGUACGACCGCAAGGUUAAAACUCAAAUGAAUUGACGGGGACCCGCACAAGUAGUGGAGCAUGUGGUUUAAUUCGAAGAUACGCGCAGAACCUUACCAACACUUGACAUGUUCGUCGCGACUCUAAGAGAUUAGAGUUUUCGGUUCGGCCGGACGAAACACAGGUGCUGCAUGGCUGUCGUCAGCUCGUGUCGUGAGAUGUUGGGUUAAGUCCCGCAACGAGCGCAACCCUCACUUUUAGUUGCCAUCAUUUAGUUGGGCACUCUGAAAGAACUGCCAGUGAUAAGCUGGAGGAAGGUGGGGAUGACGUCAAGUCCUCAUGGCCCUUACGUGUUGGGCUACACACGUGCUACAAUGGUAUCUACAACAGGAAGCAAGACUGCGAAGUUAAGCAAAUCCCUAAAAGAUACCUCAGUUCGGAUUGCACUCUGCAACUCGAGUGCAUGAAGCUGGAAUUACUAGUAAUCGUGGAUCAGCGUGCCACGGUGAAUGCGUUCCCGGGUCUUGUACACACCGCCCGUCACACCAUGGGAGUUGGUUCUACCUUAAGGCAAGGUUUCAAACCCUUGACCACGGUAUAGUCAGCGACUGGGGUGAAGUCGUAACAAGGUAGCCGUAGGGGAACCUGCGGCUG